UCCAGACUCCUACGGGAGGCAGCAGUGAGGAAUAUUGGUCAAUGGCCGCAGGGCUGAACCAGCCAAGUCGCGUGAGGGAUGACGGUCCUAUGGAUUGUAAACCUCUUUUGUCAGGGAGCAAAGGGCGCCACGUGUGGCGUUUUGCGAGUACCUGAAGAAAAAGCAUCGGCUAACUCCGUGCCAGCAGCCGCGGUAAUACGUAGGGGGCAAGCGUUAUCCGGAUUUACUGGGUGUAAAGGGAGCGUAGACGGUUAUGUAAGUCUGGAGUGAAAGCCCGGGGCCCAACCCCGGGACUGCUUUGGAAACUGUGUAACUGGAGUACAGGAGGGGCAGGCGGAAUUCCUGGUGUAGCGGUGAAAUGCGUAGAUAUCAGGAGGAACACCGGCGGCGAAGGCGGCCUGCUGGACUGAAACUGACGUUGAGGCUCGAAAGCGUGGGGAGCAAACAGGAUUAGAUACCCUUGUA
rnacentral:rRNA from 1 species